rnacentral:rRNA from 1 species
UACAGAGGUCUCAAGCGUUGUUCGGAUUCAUUGGGCGUAAAGGGUGCGUAGGCGGCGCGGUAAGUCGGGUGUGAAAUCUCGGGGCUUAACUCCGAAACUGCAUUCGAUACUACCGUGCUCGAGGACUCGAGAGGAGAUUGGAAUUCACGGUGUAGCAGUGAAAUGCGUAGAUAUCGUGAGGAAGACCAGUGGCGAAGGCGGAUCUCUGGAGAGUUCCUGACGCUGAGGCACGAAGGCCAGGGUAGCAAACGGG